rnacentral:misc_RNA from 1 species
GAUGAAGAACGUAGCGAAAUGCGAUAAGUAAUGUGAAUUGCAGAAUUCAGUGAAUCAUCGAAUCUUUGAACGCACAUUGCGCCCUCUGGUAUUCCGGGGGGCAUGCCUGUUCGAGCGUCAUUAUAACCACUCAAGCUCUCGCUUGGUAUUGGGGUUCGCGGUUUCGCAGCCCCUAAAAUCAGUGGCGGUGCCUGUCGGCUCUACGCGUAGUAAUACUUCUCGCGAUUGAGUUCGAUAGGUCUACUUGCCAGUAACCCCCAAUUUUUACAGGUUGACCUCGGAUCAGGUAGGGAUACCCGCUGAACUUAAGCAUAUCAAUAAGCGGAGGA